AUGGAACUGUCGAUGAGCGGCGGCGCGCUGCGGACCUUCUCCCGCUGCGUCACCUGCCUCGCCCGCAUCGGCUCCGACCUCGUCUUCCAGGCCUACCCCGACAAGCUGGAGCUGCACACGCUCAACAGCUCGCGGUCGGCCUUCGCGUCCGUCUCCCUCACGCGCGACUUCUUCGACCACUUCCACCUCCCCGCCGACGCCGCGCCGUCGUCCACGCCGCUCCAGUGCAGCGUCCUCCUCAAGUCCGUCCUCGCUGUGCUCCGCACGCCCACCUCCGCGAUCGACCGCCUCAACGCUUCGCUCCCAAACCCCCAAGCGUCCAAGCUCGAGUUCGUCAUCCACUGCGUCAGCGGGCGUAAGAAGACGCACCGGAUCUCGUGCAGCGCGGAGUCCGACGUGCAGACUCUGGCGCUCGACCGCAACGGCUUCCCCAGCCGCCUCGCCAUACGGCCACGGGACCUCACGCGCCUGCUCUCCAAUUUCCAGUCCUCGCUGCAGGAGCUCACCGUUAUUGCCACCGAGCCUGCUGCACGGUUGCCUGGCGUCGAUGAUGGCACUGGGGGGAAGGCAGUCGAGCUCCUAAGCUACAUCGACCCGACCAAAGAUGACUACGACAGUAGGCUGCACACACAACUGUGGAUCGAUCCAGCAGAGGAGUUCUUGGAGUAUGAGCAUGCUGGGGAUCCCGUAGAUGUCACAUUCGGGGUGAAAGAAUUGAAGGCAUUUUUAACAUUUUGUGAAGGAUGUGAGGUUGAUAUUCUCCUAUUCUAUCAGAAGGCUGGCGAACCUGUACUGUUGGCUCCAAGAUUUGGAUUCGAUGAUGGAUCAAGUUCUAAUUUCGAUGUAACUCUAGUUCUAGCCACUAUGCUUGUAUCACAACUAAAUGAUGGCAGUGUUCCUCAGCAGCCACCUACAUCAGCACAUCAUGCAGAAGAACCAAGGGCUGCCGCUGCUGCACCAUCACCAGUUCCAGAAAAUGUCUCAAACCAUACAAGAAUAUGGUCAGAGCUUUCAGGUCUUACUCCCAAAAGCUUUGAAGCUAACGCAGAAAAUCGUGCCCAGAAGGAGAGAAAUGGAAGAGCUAACGUACUGAAUGACACAUCAGUGCUUCCCAAUACCAAUGCUCCCUGCAAGCUACCAGUGACAUAUAACGCAAACUAUAUAGAGCAGCCUGUGCAAAUGGAUCACUUGGAAGAGCCUCCUGAAGUUGUGGUUGAUAACCCUCGUUCGCAGCAUCACCCAAGCAACUGGGUAGGUGCCGACGAAGACGAUGAUGAUGAAGAAGAUGAGGAGCUUUUUGUCCAAACAACACCUCACUACAUGGACUAA
rnacentral:rRNA from 1 species